rfam:Xanthomonas fragariae strain PD5205 genome assembly, chromosome: 1
CACCCAAUCGUGGCAUUGCGACAUGGGAGCAAAGGCUGGAAUUGGAACAGGGGCCAGCCGCGCGUGCGAUGGGGUAGCUUAAGGAUCGGUAGUCGGGGGACUACCGAUCCUUAUUUU